rnacentral:pre_miRNA from 1 species
UAACUACUCCCUCCGUUCCAAAUUACUUGCUGCAGAAAUGGAUGUAUCUAGAACUAAAAUACAUCUAGAUACAUCCAUACCUGCGACAAGUAAUUUGGAACGGAGAGAGUAUUAA